rnacentral:rRNA from 1 species
GCCAGAGGCGACCGCUUUUGGAGUUCGAUUAAGCCAUGCGAGUAGAAUGAAUUAGAUUCAUUGCAAACUGCUCAGUAACACGUGGAUAACCUGCCCUAUGCUCUGGGAUAACCUCGGGAAACUGAGAAUAAUACCGGAUAGAUCACAACGCCUGGAACGGUGUGUGGUUCAAAGGUUACGGCAUAGGAUGGGUCUGCGGCGUAUCAGGUCGUAGGGGGUGUAAUGGACCCCCUAGCCAUCGACGCGUACGGGUGUUGGGAGACAUAGCCCGGAGACGGAUUCUGAGACACGAAUCCGGACCCUACGGGGUGCAGCAGGCGCGAAAACUUCACACUGCAGGAAACUGUGAUGAGGGAACUCCAAGUGGAUGCACAUAGUGUAUCUCUUUUCUUUACUAUUAAUCGGUAUUGGAAUAAGGGCUGGGAAAGACCGGUGCCAGCCGCCGCGGUAAUACCGGCAGCUCGAGUGGUCGUCGCUUUUAUUGGGCCUAAAACGUCCGUAGCCGGUUUGGUAAAUCUGUGGGUAAAUCAACUAGCUUAACUAGUUGAAUUCUACAGAGACUGCCAGACUAGGAACCGGGAGAGGUGUGGGGUACUCAAGGGGUAGGGGUAAAAUCCUGUCAUCCUUUGAGGACCACCAGUUGCGAAGGCGCCACACUGGAACGGAUUCGACGGUCAGGGACGAAGCCUAGGGGCACGAACCGGAUUAGAUACCCGGGUAGUCCUAGGUGUAAACGCUGUGAACUUGGUGUCGGGAGUCCGCAAUGGGCCCCCGGUGCCGGAGUGAAGAUGUUAAGUUCACUGCCUGGGGAGUACGGUCGCAAGGCUGAAACUUAAAGGAAUUGGCGGGGGAGCACUGCAACGCGAGGAGCGUGCGGUUUAAUUGGAUUCAACGCCGGA